GAUGAAGAACGUUGCCAGUUGCGAUAAGUAGUGUGAAUUGCAAAAUAAAAUUAAUCAUAGAAUUUUUGAACGCAAAUUGCACUCUCUGGAUAUCCGGAGAGUUGACUGGCAACUGGCAACUUCUUCAUCACAAAUUUCUGGAUAUCCGGAGAGUACGUCUGUCUGAGCGUCG
rnacentral:rRNA from 1 species